CACGUAAUUCAUUACGAAGUUUAAUUCUUUGAGCAUCAAACUUUUAAAUUGAAGAGUUUGAUCAUGGCUCAGAUUGAACGCUGGCGGCAGGCCUAACACAUGCAAGUCGAACGGUAACAGGAAGCAGCUUGCUGCUUCGCUGACGAGUGGCGGACGGGUGAGUAAUGUCUGGGAAACUGCCUGAUGGAGGGGGAUAACUACUGGAAACGGUGGCUAAUACCGCAUAACGUCGCAAGACCAAAGAGGGGGACCUUCGGGCCUCUUGCCAUCAGAUGUGCCCAGAUGGGAUUAGCUAGUUGGUGAGGUAACGGCUCACCAAGGCGACGAUCCCUAGCUGGUCUGAGAGGAUGACCAGCCACACUGGAACUGAGACACGGUCCAGACUCCUACGGGAGGCAGCAGUGGGGAAUAUUGCACAAUGGGCGCAAGCCUGAUGCAGCCAUGCCGCGUGUAUGAAGAAGGCCUUCGGGUUGUAAAGUACUUUCAGCGGGGAGGAAGGUGUUGUGGUUAAUAACCGCAGCAAUUGACGUUACCCGCAGAAGAAGCACCGGCUAACUCCGUGCCAGCAGCCGCGGUAAUACGGAGGGUGCAAGCGUUAAUCGGAAUUACUGGGCGUAAAGCGCACGCAGGCGGUCUGUCAAGUCGGAUGUGAAAUCCCCGGGCUCAACCUGGGAACUGCAUUCGAAACUGGCAGGCUUGAGUCUUGUAGAGGGGGGUAGAAUUCCAGGUGUAGCGGUGAAAUGCGUAGAGAUCUGGAGGAAUACCGGUGGCGAAGGCGGCCCCCUGGACAAAGACUGACGCUCAG
rnacentral:rRNA from 1 species